CAGGAGGAUGGAUCGACCGUGGCAAAGGUCGCUCUUUCAACCGUUCCAGGAUCGGCCGUUCCUAUUCACGCCUAUCAUUCGAUCCACCGCGAAACCGAUCUCAGAUCAGCAGCAGAUGGCCAUUUCCCAAGCAAACAGGAAGUCGCCGCACUCAACUCCCGCGCCUUUCUGGGAUACCGGCGGACUGUGCUUUCCGUUCGAACCGCCAUGGCGACCGACACCAAGCAAGUUUCAGGGGUUUCGUAACCAACACAAUCGGAUACAUUCUUUUCAGGAGGACAUACGGCGCUCCCGUGUAAGACUGAGGUUUUACAGACAAACUGAAAGAGAGCCUUCUGUCACCAGAAACCAUGGAAUGUGCCAAGAAGACGAUUCUAGAUGAUGAAGAUGCCUCUGUUAAUGUUGCGCACCAGGAGGUUGUGGUAGAAAAGGAAGGAAGUAACACGCCACACAAGAAGAAUAAGAAGCACAAGAAGCAUAAAAGUAAAAAGAAGAAGAAGCGUAAGGGUGAAAAGGAGAGUAGCUCUGAAUCAGGUGUUGAAUCUGAUGGAGAGGCUAAAACGAGAGCACGUGGUGGAGUGAAGAAUGAACACCCUUUGACAUCGGAGACAAGAGACCAAGCUGAUUCUAAAGAAGAGCCUGUAAAACCACAUGCAGAACUGCAAAUGGAUGAUGAUGUCAAAUCCAAGAAGUCAAAACGGCACACAGGGAAAAAGAAAAAGAAGAGAAAGAAGAAAGAGGAAGAAAAACGGGAGAAAAAGUCUUUAUCCCAUUCACGAUCAAACAGCACAUCUGCAUCAGGUUCGGAGUCUGAAUCUGAAUCUAAACCUUCCCACACGCAGUCAUUGAAGGAUUCCACCAGCACGCCUUUUGAGAAGUCUGCACUAAAGGAUGCUCCUGAAGAGCUUGCAGAAGACAGAUACACAGCUAAGGUAGCUGGUUUGGAUGAACAGGAGGGAGCUAUAAAUAUAAAGUCAGAACUCACUGAAGAUAAUGCAGUGGUUCAGUGUAACAGCGAGUUGCUUCCAUCUUUACCAGUUAAAGAUGAAAGUAUAAAAGCUACAUAUGGAGAAAAUGGGAAUUUAAUCAAAGCCCAGGACUUACCUGAUAUAAUUCCUAAGCAGGAGACUGUUCAAAAAGAAAAUGUUCAGAAAGAUAAAAUUAUUUCAAAAGCAGCUAAUGGAGAUCAGAAAGGAAAGGCCCAUCAGCGAGAUAGAAGUCAUUCCCCAUCAAAGUCCAGGUCACGUUCACUUUCAGGCACCAAAAGGGCAAAAUCAAGCCCAAGUCGUUCUCCAAGUCCAAAGCGUACUUCUGGAAAAACAGCAUCUCGAAGAGAUCGUUCUUCAUCUAGGGCACGGUCUAGAUCUAAAAGACGGAGUAGCCCAAAGGGGAAACGUUCAAGGUCUCGAUCGAGAAGGCGGCGAUCGAGAUCCAAGUCCAUAAGGAGGUCAGGGCGCAGAUCAAGAUCCGUUUCUCUCAAGAGAAGGCGCCGCUCAGACUCCAGGUCUCGGAAGAGGAACCGAAGAUCCAGGUCCCCGUCACCGCGGCCUGGUAGGCGCUCCAGAUCCAGUGCACAUCUUCGGAGGUCUACAUCAAGAUCCAGGCGUUCGGUGUCUCGCAGACGAAACCGUAGAUCAAGGACACAUUCUCGGUCUCCAAGAAGAAGGAGACCCUCUAGAUCUCAUUCACGGUGGAGAACACCUGUGUCACGGUCACGGAGAUCCCGCUCUAGGUCUGCUAGGCGGGGAAGGCGAACUCGAUCAAGGUCUGUUGUGAUUCUGAGGAGGAAUAGACGAUCACGGUCUCGAUCUGCUCGUAAAAACAAAUCAAGGUCCAGGACACCAAGGCGAAAGAGCAUUUCUCGAUCUCCUCAACGUUCACGAUCUCCAGCAAGACAACGGACAAAAUCCAUAACUCCAAGGAGGAACCGGACUAAAUCCAAGUCUCCUCCUAGUGGAAAACGAUCAAAGUCCAGAUCUGUGUCAUCACGUAGUCGCUCCAAGUCUAAGUCGCCUAAGGUUAGGAGACCGUCUAAAUCAGAUUCCAGAUCAAAAUCUGUAAGCAGAAACAAAUCCAGGUCUCGCUCAGGAGAGAGGCAGUCUUCUGAUCCAGUACAGAUAUGCUGUAAAUCUCCUUCGCCCUCUAGGGAAGAUGCAUUGCCAGACACACAAAGCAAAGAGGAAGAUAACAAUGACUCUUCUCAGCCAGAGAUGGCAGAGAGCAUUUCGAUCUCAGAGGAACCCAUUGUGGUACCUUCAGGGCCAUGGAAGCCUGUGCCAUUUAUUGAGGAGUCAAGUAAUGAAUGUACUUCUAUAGAUACGGAAGGUGUGGUACCAUUACGUGAGGAAGGUGUGGUAUCAACUGAGGUGACAUACCAGCUAGAUGACAACUUGACUGCUGCCCACAGCGAUGGCGAUAAACAAGCUACCUCUGGAUCUAAACCGUCUUCACCGGAACCACCAACUUUGCCAGGCGAUGGGGGGGAUCAUGAUCUUCCAGUGACUGAAACAAUCAGGGAGCAUGGUUUGCCAUGUGAUGGAGCAGACCAUUCAAGGGAAUCUACACCAAGUGGUCCAAAGAAAGCAGAGUCAAAGUCAUCCAACAAAAAUAAGGAAAGUUCAUCUCUGGAAAGAUCAGUAUCUCCUUUAGGGAAGCAGCGCUCUAAGUCUAGGUCUUCAUCUAGACAAAGGAAGUCUCCUAUUAGAAGAAAACGUUCUAGGUCAGGAUCAUCCAGUCGAAAGAGGCGAUCCAAGUCUAAGUCAGCUACCAGAAGGAAUGCUUCAAGGUCUAGGUCCCCUGCACGUAAACGAAAGUCAAGAUCUCCUUCUCGUGGUCGAAAGAAAAGGUCCAAGACUAAGUCCCCUGUACGGAGAAGAAAAUCUCGAUCAAGAUCAGGAAAACGUGUGAAAAAGUCGCGGUCCAAAUCUCGAACUCGCAACAAGCGUUCAAAGUCCAGGUCACCAAAACGAAAACGAUCAAAGUCCAGGUCACCGGCUAAAAAGCGACGUUCAAAGUCUCGUUCGCCUGUUCGAAGGAAGAGGUCAAAGUCAGGUGAGAAAAGCAAACGCUCCAAGACUCGUUCGCCUGCCAGAAAGAGAAGGUCGCGCUCUCGCUCCACAAACCGCAACCGCAGGUCCCGAUCUAGGCGCUCUCGCUCCGGUUCUCGGCGGAGGAGACCAGUGUUCCGGAGCCGCUCCUUUGAUCGGCGAGAUCGAUGGAAGCGUGAACCAAGCCACUCUCCCAUUCUCAUCCUCCGUAAGAAAAGGUCCACCUCUCGCACACGCCGCAGUGCAAGCAAGACUCCUCCACGUCUCACUGAACUAGAUAAAGAUCAGUUGCUGGAGAUCGCUAAAGCGAAUGCUGCUGCUAUGUGUGCCAAGGCCGGGAUGCCCAUCCCUGAGAGCUUGAGACCCAAAGCCAUUCUUCAGCUCCCUUUGCCAACUCCGGCCCCAACGCCCUUGUCUUUACCACUUCCUCUCCCUAUGAAUUUACCCAUGAACCUGCCCAUGGGUAUGCCUGGAAUGCCCAACAUGACCAUGAAUGCUGCCAUGGCCAGCAUGACUGCAGCCACGAUGACGGCAGCCCUUUCCAACAUGGGUGCCCUGGCCGCCAUUCCCCCAAUGCCACCGCUUCCUACGAUUACCAACAAGCCGCCUCCUGCGCCCACACCAAACCUGGCUAAUAUUGAAGAGGUGAAGAGGAAGGUGACUCAGCAGGCUAAUAGCUUUAGCAUCAAAGAACUUACUGAGAAAUGCAAGCAAAUUGCAGCAUGUAAAGAAGAGAUGGCUAUUGCCAAACCCCAUGUGUCUGAUGAUGAGGAUGAUUCAACACGGUAAUUUCUUCAGGAACCUACCAAUCUUCGGUGUGACUGGAUUUAAAGACUUUAUUGGCAUGACCCUCCAACUGAAGUAGAGCAGUCUGACUGGAUUCUGUAAGAACUGGGACCUCAGUGAUCCUGCUAUUGAAGAAGCAGCGAUUGAAGAACCCCAUACUCGUUUAAAAAUGAUGAUAAAACUGCAGUAGUACUCUGCCAUAUGACAUGUCUAAGACAAGCUGUAGACCUAGAGCAGGUGGUGCAAGACACCUUGGAGUUCCCUUGUCUGCUUUUAUAUGAAGUGAGAAUUUUGCCAUCUGGAAAACAAGACUGGCUGUAUGUGUCAGAAAUGACUACACACAUUCAGAUGACAUGAGGCUAUUAAAGAUACUGAAAGGUUUUAACAAUUUCCUGUUUUGAUAUUUUAGUGUUUAUUACUUUCAGAAAUAAAUGUUCAGGCGUGGUCCUAAUUAGAUGUGGC
rnacentral:lncRNA from 1 species